rnacentral:tRNA from 1 species
AGAGACAGAACUCGAUUGGUUGAGUGUCCCCCUUUUAAGGAGAAGGUCCUGGUUCAAUUCCAGGUGUUUCUA